rnacentral:lncRNA from 1 species
UCGGAGCUUCGAAUAAGCUCCUAUGGUGAAAAAAAAUGCAAAUUUUGGAUUCUGCAUCAACGUGGCGGUCGUUACGAGCGUGAUGGGCUGCCUGUCAUGCUUAUGGGUCAGCUGACAGUCGCCAGCAUGGUGUCGACGAGACCAACAUGGACUUCAGGCGGGAUUUUCAUGUUGGUCAUCAUGGGGUGAUAGGUUCUUGAUGAGGGGACAUGACGGGUUGGAAGACGGUCGUCAUGGCCUCCAGGGACCAGUU